rnacentral:rRNA from 1 species
UGGGGAAUAUUGGGCAAUGCUCGCAAGAGUGACCCAGCAACGCCGCGUGAAGGAUGAAGGCCGUAAGGUUGUAAACUUCGACAAAAUGGGAAGAAAGUGCAUACUAUAAGGGUAUGUUUUGACGGUACCAUUUGGAAGCCCCGGCUAACUACGUGCCAGCAGCCGCGGUAAUACGUAGGGGGCUAGCGUUGUCCGGAUUUACUGGGUGUAAAGGGCGCGUAGGCGGAUUAGUAAGUCAGUGGUUAAAGCGUGCGGCUUAACUGCAUUGAUGCCAUUGAUACUAUUAGUCUAGAGUUCAGUAGGGAGAGUUGGAAUUCCUGGUGUAGUAGUGAAAUACGCAGAUAUCAGGAAGAAUACCGGAGGCGAAGGCGAGCUCUUGGGCUGAUACUGACGCUGAGGC